UACACCCUGGGGGAGGGGGCUAUGCCUGUACUGGAAGAAGGUCACUCAGUGCUUCACAGUGUAGCAGAAACUAGAAUGUCCAUUAGCAGGGAAAAAUCCUUGGGGGAAUCAGCUUGUGGAAUGGACAAAAGCCCCAUCGGAAUGCUCUCCCAUUGCCCGUCUCACCCUGGCAGGCUACAGAAUAACAUCCACAUUUCACUCCAGAUCAACCCGUCCUCCCACGGGGAAGGAAAUGUCUGCAAUGGAGCUGGCUCAGGAAGAACUGGGCUCGCAGAUGCAGGAAGCUCUAUUGGAGAGAAGACAAAUGGACAGGGUUUCCAGUUUCCAAACCUGAUGUGAUCUUGCAGCUGGAAUAAGGGGAACAGCUGUGGGUCUCAGACCUCCCGAGAGCUGUCUGCACAGAUGAGGAAUUGGGUGAACCCUCUCAAAAACUGUCCGUGAAUACAGGAAACAUUUGGGAUGCCCUACAAAGACUCUCCAAGUUGUGAUAGGAUGGUGAGUGAGAACGAGGAGACACCCCAGCAGGAAGAUGCUGAGCAGGUAGAACCACAUGGGACGUUAUCAGGAAGACCCAAAGGGAAUGUUUCCGGGAGUUGUGCACUCCCAGAAAGAACAAAUGCCUGUGAGACUAAGCACAGGCCAGAGGAAAACUUCAGUAGCCACUCAGACCUUAUUACGUGCAAGAGCAUCAACUUGGAAGAGACACGCUACACAUGCCAUGAGUGUGGGAAAAGCU